CUGAGAUCAUCUAUCUCAUUCCCCAAGAAAGUUGGCAGAUGAGAAGGCUGAGGCCUAGGAAGAUAAAUAUUGCAAACUUUGAGUGUUCAUUAGGGAUAGCAUCAAAAUCAAUUGUGGUCCUCUGGUAAGAAACAUGGGCCACCUUCUCCACACACUUCCCACUGCCCCACCCAUCCUGCAUGUAUCAUUUCAGAAGGCUACCAAGUAAUAACUCUUCUAACUGGUAAAAUAUAUAAUUUGGAGAGGAGGAGGAGCUUUGUUGGGAAAAAAGCGGAGAACGAGUUUCUAAUCCCAAAAGUUGGGAUCAAACUCUUUCUAAGAUAGCCUUGAAUUGAAUCAAUGUAGCAGUGGUUAAUUCGUAGGUUAAUUACAGCUUGAUGGAAACAAUAACAUCGUCAUGCUUGGGUUGCACAUUUUAAACCCGUAAAAUGAUAGCCAACUCGAAUGCCAAUCAUGAGCUUCCCAAACAGCAGCUGUCACUGUGUGGUGGACUUGGCUCUGAGUGUCUCAGGUCACCCUGAUGUGUUCCAGUGUUUGCUGUUUCAGUGUCAGUGAGUACACCGUGGCCACUGCAGAUCACACAGAGUCAUGGCAGAGACUGUCUAACCCUCGUAAUCAGGAGAGUUGGAGCUUAAGAAUCAACACACGGCCUUACUUACACUUUUCAUUUAAACUAUGCUUGAAGCUUUAAAUGUUUCCAGCUGCGCAUGUAUUAGAAGGGAUAAAAGAAUAAGGGAAGAGCUUCAGAAAACAGUGUUGUUCCAAAGGAGGGCUUGGUAAUUCUAAAUGGCCAGUAGGGCAGGCCAGAGGCCACUGAGGAUUCACAUCACAGGAGAGAAAGUAUUUACCAGUAGGGUUGCUUUGAUUGAUGGGUCCUGGGAAUUUCUGCAACAUGCCCUGCAGCACCUAACAGUAGGACAGAUGUUUCCAUAGCUGAAUCUUUCUGCCCUGCUGCUCCUGGGAAAAAUAAUUUCCACUCCCACUGCAGCUCUACCCUAGCCAAUUAAUGAAGUUCUUUCAGUGAUUUUUCAUUUGUGAGUAUGAUAUGCUCAGCUCUUGGCCUAAUUAGACAAGAGGGGGCCGCUGAUUUCUCAGUCUCCAGACUUCUUGCUUGGGACAUGCAUUCUCAGUUUCUUUAGACCAGUAGUUGUAUUAAUAAAAGAAAGAGGAGGGGGCCAGGUGCGGUGGCUCACACCUGUAAUCCCAAAGUGCAGGGAUUAUAGGCAUGAACCACGGCACCCGGCCACCUUACUUGUUUUUACUUAUCUUAGGGAUUGUUCCGGGUUAGCACAUGUAGACCUCCCAUAUUUGCUUUUUAAUAACUACAGGAAUGUUUUUUAAACAUUGUUUAGAUGGUCCAUCAUUUACUAGCCUUUUAUUGCUGGGCAUUUUGGUUGUACAAUCUUCUGCUGUCCCAACAAAUUAAAUGUUACCCUUGAACAUAAAUAUUUUGGCGCAUAUGCUAGUUAAUCUAUAUUAUCAGUUUGCAGAAAUAGAACCACUAGGCCAAAUGGCAUAUACCUUUAAAUAUUUAAAAUAUUUAAAUAUAGAGAUAAUCAUAUUGCUCUCCUGUAGAGGAUUUCUUCAUUGACUUCUUCCUGGCAGUGCAUAAGAAUGCAUCCUCCAACCCGUUUCCCUUCUCCCCAUCUCCACCUUGGCCAUAUCAGAGUCUGUCUUUUGCAGGAGAAAAAGUUUUGGUCUGGGAUGAGCAUGAAUAUUUUUAAAACUCACCGCAUGGGUGUCAGCAGUGUUUCAGUUGCAAGUCACAGAAAAUCUGCCUCAAACCGACUUAAAUCAAAAUUAAAAAAAAAAAAAAAGAUGGAGAAGUUGAUGGGCACAGAUAACAAAAGUCCAGAGAGAAAAUGUGCUUCAGGUGUAGCUGGAUCUAGGGAGGGCUGGCAUGUCAUGGCACAGCUUCAGGGGCACAGUCACAUUGCAUUAGCAAACAGUGUGAAGGCUGCCCCCUGGAGUUAGUGGCCAUACAUUCAGGGACACAACUAAGCUUACAGGGACCUGGUCUCUCUCCAUUUCCCAGCCCUGUUUCCUUGGGGUUUGCCUUGUUCACAGGCAGGCUUUCUCCACGUGGCAGCUCUAGGUUUACGUUCUAUGAACUUUAUAACCUCAAUCUAAGAGCCUCCCCUUCUCUGUAGAUACAGCCAAAGUCAUGCAAUUGUUCUUCGUUGAUCUGACUUUGGUCAGAUACUCAUCCCAAGUAAUUGAUCACUUCUGGGAAGGUCUUUUGGUUUGCUUGCCUGUCAUCCAUUCCCUGUUCUUCUGAUAGUAGCGCCUUGAUUUUCUUCCUCAAUCUAAGUCCCCAUGGUUCUAGGGACCUUCCUUCAUCCAGGGCUGAGCAUGCGACCCUAGGCAUGGCCAGUCAGCACCCAUCCUACCAACGGCCAAAGUGAUUCUGAUUCUUGGACACUACCUCCUUGACCACUAACCCAUCUGUAGGCUAGAUGAGUUUGUCUGAGACCAGGAAAGUUACAGCUGAAGAAGAUGGGAGAUGGAAGUGCAUACAAAUCACCUGGCAAUCUUGUAGUAAAGCAGAUUCUAAUUUAUUAGGUCUGAGAUGGGG
rnacentral:lncRNA from 1 species